GACGAACGCUGGCGGCGUGCUUAACACAUGCAAGUCGAACGGAAAGGCCCUGCUUUUGUGGGGUGCUCGAGUGGCGAACGGGUGAGUAACACGUGAGUAACCUGCCCUUGACUUUGGGAUAACUUCAGGAAACUGGGGCUAAUACCGGAUAGGAGCUCCUGCUGCAUGGUGGGGGUUGGAAAGUUUCGGCGGUUGGGGAUGGACUCGCGGCUUAUCAGCUUGUUGGUGGGGUAGUGGCGUACCAAGGCUUUGACGGGUAGCCGGCCUGAGAGGGUGACCGGCCACAUUGGGACUGGGAUACGGGCCAGACUCCUACGGGAGGCAGCAGUGGGGAAUAUUGCACAAUGGGCGGCAGCCUGAUGCAGCGACGCCGCGUGCGGGAUGACGGCCUUCGGGUUGUAAACCGCUUUCGCCUGUGACGAAGCGUGAGUGACGGUAAUGGGUAAAGAAGCACCGGCUAACUACGUG
rnacentral:rRNA from 1 species